rnacentral:lncRNA from 1 species
GCGUGCCAACCAGAAGUUACAUCUUCCUUGCAUACAGGACAUGCCAUAUAACCCUUUUUGCUCCACCAGAAAUCAUUGCAUAUGCUGGAAAAUCAUUCACAGUCCACAUAACUGCUGCCCGCAAAGUGAACAUAUUCCCAGUUGAUUUAUCGUAUCACUACUACAAAAAGUGAAAAAGACGACCAGAAAACAACGACGGUCUAAGUGAAAACCGUCGUGAUUUUUAAAAAGACGACGGUUCUAAAAACACCGUCGUGUAAUACCA